rnacentral:lncRNA from 1 species
GUGACUCUGACCCUGCUCAGAUGGAGAAUAUCCGAUGUUAUCUGCCAGAUGCCUAUAAGAUUAUGUCUCAAAGAUGCAAUAACAGAACCCAGUGUGCAGUGGUGGCAGGUCCUGAUGUUUUUCCAGACCCGUGUCCAGGAACCUAUAAAUACCUUGAAGUGCAGUAUGAAUGUGUCCCUUACAGUAUGUAUAUUCCUAUACUUUUCUUGGCAAGAGAAAAGAUACUAAACUGUGUUUUGCAUGCAUUGACAAAUAUUCUCUAUGAAAACAUAAAUCACGUAAAUUAAAUGAAAAAAUUGGCUAAUAUUAAUUUUUGAGAAUCAUAGACCCUCCCUGCCAUCAGAAGAAUUAGAUAUUGCCUACCCUCUCCUACGGCAUUUACUUGUGAUUAUUUCUGUAUAUGAAUACGUGUUCUAACACACUUUUCUUAAUUAAUGCAAGAAUAUAAAACAUUUAGAAAAAGGUUGGGGGAGUGUUAUACCAAUUCUCCAGGUCCAAGCAGAUAAGAGGUGAAAAUGAGCAAUACAAUUUUAUAUGUAAUGUAUAGCAGUUGAUACAUUUUGAAUUUGAUAGAAUUGUAUCUAAGCUUCAUCUGCUGUCAACAUUUUGAGAAUUAGAAAUAUAUUCAUCCAGAAGGAGU